rnacentral:rRNA from 1 species
UACGCAGGGGGCUAGCGUUGUUCGGAAUCACUGGGCGUAAAGCGCACGUAGGCUGAUUGGUCAGUUGGGGGUGAAAUCCCGGGGCUCAACCUCGGAACUGCCUUCAAUACUGCCAGUCUUGAGUCCGAGAGAGGUGAGUGGAAUUCCUAGUGUAGAGGUGAAAUUCGUGGAUAUUAGGAAGAACACCAGUGGCGAAGGCGGCUCACUGGCGCGGUACUGACGCUGAGGUGCGAAAGCGUGCGGAGGAAACAGG